GCUUACGACCAUACCACCCUGAAUGUGCCCUAUCUCGUCUGAUCUCGGCAGCUAAGCAGGGUCAGGCCUGGUUAGUACUUGGAUGGGUGACCGCCUGGGAAUACCAGGUGCUGUAAGCU
rnacentral:rRNA from 1 species